AUGGGGGGCAGUGAUUGCUCAGACAGUUUCCAAUACCUACAUAUUGUCCUUAUUAAAACAGCAGACCUACAUAUUGUCCUUAAAGCAGCAGAUCUACAUAUUGUCUUUAUUAAAACAGCAGACCUACAUAUUGUCCUUAUUAAAACAGCAGACCUACAUAUUGUCCUUAUUAAAACAGCAGACCUACAUAUUGUCCUUAUUAAAACAGCAGACCUACAUAUUGUCCUUAAAGCAUCAGAUCUACAUAUUGUCCUUAUUAAAACAGCAGAUUUACAUAUUGUCCUUAAAGCAGCAGACCUACAUAUUGUCCUUAAAGCAUCAGAUCUACAUAUUGUCCUUAAAGCAUCAGAUCUACAUAUUGUCCUUAUUAAAACAGCAGACCUACAUAUUGUCCUUAAAGCAGCAGACCUACAUAUUGUCCUUAAAGCAUCAGAUCUACAUAUUGUCCUUAUUAAAACAGCAGAUCUACAUAUUGUCCUUAAAGCAGCAGACCUACAUAUUGUCCUUAUUAAAACAGCAGACCUACAUAUUGUCCUUAUUAAAACAGCAGACCUACAUAUUGUCCUUAAAGCAUCAGAUCUACAUAUUGUCCUUAUUAAAACAGCAGAUCUACAUAUUGUCUUUAUUAAAACAGCAGAUCUACAUAUUGUCCUUAAAGCAGCAGACCUACAUAUUGUCCUUAAAGCAGCAGAUCUACAUAUUGUCUUUAUUAAAACAGCAGACCUACAUAUUGUCCUUAUUAAAACAGCAGACCUACAUAUUGUCCUUAAAGCAGCAGACCUACAUAUUGUCCUUAUUAAAACAGCAGAUCUACAUAUUGUCCUUAAAGCAUCAGAUCUACAUAUUGUCCUUAUUAAAACAGCAGAUUUGCAUAUUGUCCUUAUUAAAACAGCAGACCUACAUAUUGUCCUUAAAGCAUCAGAUCUACAUAUUGUCCUUAUUAAAACAGCAGAUCUACAUAUUGUCUUUAUUAAAACAGCAGACCUACAUAUUGUCCUUAUUAAAACAGCAGACCUACAUAUUGUCCUUAAAGCAGCAGACCUACAUAUUGUCCUUAUUAAAACAGCAGACCUACAUAUUGUCCUUAAAGCAUCAGAUCUACAUAUUGUCCUUAUUAAAACAGCAGAUUUACAUAUUGUCCUUAAAGCAGCAGACCUACAUAUUGUCCUUAAAGCAUCAGAUCUACAUAUUGUCCUUAUUAAUACAGCAGAUCUACAUAUUGUCUUUAUUAAAACAGCAGAUCUA
rnacentral:lncRNA from 1 species